rnacentral:rRNA from 1 species
CCCUUAGAUGUUCUGGGCCGCACGCGUGCUACACUGAGUGGAUCAGCGGGUCAGGUUGCGCGAAAGUGUUUCCUAAUCUUGAAAUCCGCUCGUGAUGGGGAUUGACGGUUGCAAUUUUCCGUCAUGAACGAGGAAUACCUUGUAAGCGCGGGUCAUCAUCCCGCGCUGAAUACGUCCCUGCCCUUUGUACACACCGCCCGUCGCUCCUACCGAUUGAGUGGUCCGGUGAGGCUUUGGGAUCUGAGCGGAAAGAGCGUUUCGCUGUUUCUGCCCGGAAAACUCAGUCGAACCUUAUCAUUUAGAGGAAGGAGAAGUCGUAACAA